rnacentral:rRNA from 1 species
AUUGAACGCUAGCGGGAUGCUUUACACAUGCAAGUCGAACGGCAGCGCGGACUUCGGUCUAGCGGCGAGUGGCGAACGGGUGAGUAAUGUAUCGGAACGUGCCCAGUAGCGGGGGAUAACUACGCGAAAGCGUAGCUAAUACCGCAUACGCCCUACGGGGGAAAGCAGGGGAUCGUAAGACCUUGCACUAUUGGAGCGGCCGAUAUCGGAUUAGCUAGUUGGUGAGGUAACGGCUCACCAAGGCGACGAUCCGUAGCUGGUUUGAGAGGACGACCAGCCACACUGGGACUGAGACACGGCCCAGACUCCUACGGGAGGCAGCAGUGGGGAAUUUUGGACAAUGGGGGCAACCCUGAUCCAGCUAUCCCGCGUGUGCGAUGAAGGCCUUCGGGUUGUAAAGCACUUUUGGCAGGAAAGAAACGUCGCGGGCUAAUACCCCGUGGAACUGACGGUACCUGCAGAAUAAGCACCGGCUAACUACGUG